GCCAGGCCACAACAAUGGCCACCGCCAAUGUCCCAGUCCCUGGAGAGGUCUCACCUCUCACGAGAUGCACUCAGGGCCUAUCAGCGUGUAGGGAUAUAAUGAAAAGACGAGAAGAUGGCUGUCUGCAAACCAGGAGGGAGUCCUCACCUGACACCAGAUCUUUCAGCACCUUGAUAUUGGACUUCUAGCCUCCAGAACGGUUGGGCAGCUCACUGGAUCUCCUCCUCCUUUCUGAUUCACUCCACGUCAAGACCUUAGGAUUUGCAAUUCAAGAGUUAUAUGGCCAGGAAGCUGCCAGUACAGACUUAUUGGUUGGAUGAUGUAAUAAAUGGGCUAAAUGGGGUGAAACUCUACUUCUCCAAUCACCUUUUUAACCAAAAUAAUUUUUCAAAAUGAACCUUAUUAUACACAUAUGAACAAAAAAAAACAAAACUAAUGGUAAAGAAUACUACUUGGGAGGAAGUCAAGAUGGCGGUGUAGGCAGACUCUGAACUCAUCUCAUCCCGCGGACACAGCCAAUUUACAACUACUCAUGGAAAAAUUACCCCUGAGAAAGAAUUGAAAACUGGAUAAGAGGAACUCCUACAACAACGGACAAUCCUGAUUGAGGUGGAAGAGGCAGAGACUCCCUGCUGGAGAGGAAAAAUGCCGCCUUCACAAGCCACAGCGCCUCACGGCCGCCCGGGAGCAACCCACAGGUACGCAGCCCUCCCUGGAGGCGCGGGGCCCUGAGACGGGGAGCGCCUCCAGGGCAUUUUGUGGACCCAGCACAAUCGAGACGAGUGGCAGAAUAUCUGACUUUGCCUGCUACUAAAACAUUGGGGAGUACCAACCAGAAAAGAUGGUUCACAAAGAAAUUAAAACCAGCUCUUAAAGGGCCCACGCGCAAACUCACCCAUUUCAGAAAGAAACCUAAAAUCACCAGAAAGAAAGGUGCACAGUACUUUGGUGAAAGGAGACUCACCAGAUAGGCCCUGUGUGCAUCUCGGUGAGAGGUCAGACCUCUCCAGGGAC